rnacentral:rRNA from 1 species
GACGAACGCUGGCGGCGUGCCUAAUACAUGCAAGUCGAGCGGACUGAUGGGAGCUUGCUCCCUGAUGUUAGCGGCGGACGGGUGAGUAACACGUGGGCAACCUGCCCUAUAGUUGGGGAUAACUCCGGGAAACCGGGGCUAAUACCGAAUGAUACAAUUUAACUCCUGUUAGAUUGUUGAAAGAUGGUUUCGGCUAUCGCUAUAGGAUGGGCCCGCGGCGCAUUAGCUAGUAGGUGAGGUAACGGCUCACCUAGGCGACGAUGCGUAGCCGACCUGAGAGGGUGAUCGGCCACACUGGGACUGAGACACGGCCCAGACUCCUACGGGAGGCAG